rnacentral:lncRNA from 1 species
UCCUGGGGUAGGAAGAGUCCAACGGGCCAGUUGGGUCAUGGGCCCACUCCUUGGCUUGAGGAGGGCAGGAGACUUUGAUUUUCAGCCACCCAAGAUGGCAUAGUGCAGGACGCCUGGCCGGGGAGUGUGCGAUGGGAUUUCGCUUUUCCCGGGGAAGCUGGAGAGGAUGCAACCGACAGCUCGGGGCGCGGAGGAGGAGGCAGUGGCGGGGAUCCGGGCUGGCUGCCUCCCGAGUCUGUGCGUCGCACUGAGGCACCGGGCUGUCUCAACAGUAGCUCUGGCUGCAAAGUGAUCCGCCCAAGAAAAGCCGUUCCUCUGACUUGCGACUUAGGCCAUUGUUCAUCAGUGUCGGGGAAGGACGUCCAGAUGGGAUAUUCCUGGCUCCCAGUGGCUCGCCCUUGCUUCCAAUCUCUGUUUUCCAAAUUGGGACUAUCAGGUAAAGAUUUAAGUGUGAGAAACAGCGUGAUGU